rnacentral:sRNA from 1 species
UCCAGGCCAGCAUCGAGUUGGACUGCAGGGCGCAAGGAAAGGCUUCGCCUUCGAUUCUACCGGCAUUAUUGACAAGUAUCUCUAUGCCAUGCGGCUCUCUGAUGAAACUCUCAUAGAUAUCAUGACUCGCUUCAGGAAGGAGAUGAAGAAUGGCCUCUCCCGGGAUUUUAAUCCAACAGCCACAGUCAAGAUGUUGCCAACAUUCGUAAGGUCCAUUCCUGAUGGCUCUGAAAAGGGAGAUUUCAUUGCCCUGGAUCUUGGUGGGUCUUCCUUUCGAAUUCUGCGGGUGCAAGUGAAUCAUGAGAAAAACCAGAAUGUUCACAUGGAGUCCGAGGUUUAUGACACCCCAGAGAACAUCGUGCACGGCAGUGGAAGCCAGCUUUUUGAUCAUGUUGCUGAGUGCCUGGGAGAUUUCAUGGAGAAAAGGAAGAUCAAGGACAAGAAGUUACCUGUGGGAUUCACGUUUUCUUUUCCUUGUCAGCAAUCCAAAAUAGACGAGGCCGUCUUGAUCACCUGGACAAAGCGAUUUAAAGCGAGCGGAGUGGAAGGAGCAGAUGUGGUCAAGCUGCUUAACAAAGCCAUCAAAAAGCGAGGAGACUAUGAUGCCAACAUCGUAGCUGUGGUGAAUGACACAGUGGGCACCAUGAUGACCUGUGGCUAUGACGACCAGCAUUGUGAAGUCGGCCUGAUCAUCGGCACUGGCACCAAUGCUUGCUACAUGGAGGAACUGAGGCACAUUGAUCUGGUGGAAGGAGACGAGGGGAGGAUGUGUAUCAACACGGAAUGGGGAGCCUUUGGAGACGAUGGAUCAUUAGAAGACAUCCGGACAGAGUUUGACAGGGAGAUAGACCGGGGAUCCCUCAACCCUGGAAAACAGCUGUUUGAGAAGAUGGUCAGUGGCAUGUACUUGGGAGAG